rnacentral:misc_RNA from 1 species
UAGUUGAGUUGAGUUGAGUUGGUGUUACCAAAGAAGUGUACUGCAAUUGCAUCCAGCUGAAGCCACUAUCAGAGAUCUUUUAACCUUUCAUACUUUAAAUGUUCUAUAUCAUUUUGAUUUUUUAUUUUGAAAAUUUAUAUUUCAUUGAAGAUUUAUGAUUGAUUAAUGUUCUUGCUAUGGCCCUUGACAUUCUGUUAUCAUGGUUUGUAUAGGAAACAUUGUACAGAUUCAUGUAGUACAGUUCGCCCCUUCUAUGAACUUUGCAUUUAAUUCUUCAUUAAUUGUCUUCAGAUUGUUGGGCAUUCACUUG